CUCUUUUUGUUCAACAUGCCGCAAUGCUGUGUCCCCCUUUGUUUUAAUCGAUCCGAAUCAAAAAAACACAUUCAGCUGUCAUUUUACCGAUUUCCUUGCGAUGAGAAAAAGAAAAUGAAAUGGCUGCAGUUGAUAAGGCGUGAAAACUUCACCCCAAACUGCAACUCAAGAGUGUGCAGCUGGCACUUCCCUAAAGGAAAGGAUGCUGGGCCAACAAGGUUUGCUUGGAACGAGGGGAAGCCUUUUCAAUUUCCAGACAACCACAAGAAUGUCCAUAAACAGAAAAAAGCACUGGUCCCAGCUAGUGUUAAAACUGAAAAGUCAGAUGAACAUGUUCCUGGCAAUGCAGACACACAGACAGCUACUGCAAGAACAAGUCUUCUGUUGCUACAGAUUGAGAAUGACAUGCUGAGAGAAGAGAAUGAAAAACUAAAAAAACAACUGGAGAAGCAGAAGCAGACUUUCUCAUUCAGUCAAAUAUCUGACAACCCCGAAAGGGUCCAUUACUAUACUGGAUUGCCCGAUGCCGCGACGGUCUUAUUUUUAGAAGGCCUUCUUUCCAAAUUUGAGCUCAAUUAUCAUUCUGAUUGGACUGUCCAAAGGAUGCCCCUAAUUGACCAGUUAUUUCUGACCCUAAUGAAGCUCAAACUUAAUUGUGGUCAUGUAGACCUUGCAACAAGGUUUAACUGCAGCACAGCCACAGUAACCAAUAUAUUUACAACACUUGUUAGUGCACUGUAUGAUAUUUUGUAUGUUGGCAUGCUGGAAAAAAAAAAAUUCCCUUGAGAGCCAAGAAUCAGACAACACUGCCAGAUUGCUUCCAGCCAUUUCCAAACUGUAGGAUUGUGCUUGACUGCACAGUUUCUGUCUCUAACACAGAGAGGCUUGACACACAGAGUCGUUUGCACAGCCAGAACAAAGGAUGUACCACACUAAAGGCUCUAAUUGGUGUGGCUCCCAAUGGUUUAAUAACCUUUGCAAGUGACUUAUAUGGUGAGAGUGCCUCAGACAAGCCCAUAACAGCAGACUGUGGAGCUCUGCAACAUCUACAACCAGGUGACACACUCAUUGCAGAUAAGUGUUUCACAGUUCAGGACAUCUUGCCAGAGGGAGUCUCACUGAACAAUCCAUCUUUCCUUGUCAAUGGUCAGUUCACACAGGAGGAAGUGAACAGCAGCAGGUUGAUCUCCUGUGCAAGAACACAUGUAGAGCCUUCCAUUCAAAGGCUGAAACUCUUUUCCAUUUUAGAUCACAUCCCACAUAACUUCAAGAAAAACAUUAACAAGAUACUGAAAGUCUGUGUGUGUCUUUCAAAUUUGCAGACACCCGUUCUCUGUGAAAUUGAAUCGGUCAUUGUUUGAUUUUUAAAAUCCAUUGUGGCGAAGUGCAAAGAAAAAGAUCACAAAUAUUGUCAAUGUACAAAUACAUAUGGAUCUGACUGUAAGACUGUUGAGUAAGUGCAGGUUCUAAUUUUGUGUUCUGGUUUGCUUUAUUGUAAAUUAUAUACUCGAUAUUACUUCAUAUACAACUUAUUUGCAUAGCUUCAACUUGAUAAUUGUAGUUUGUAAAAUAUUUAAUUUUGCUCUAAUUGAUGUUUUUAUCCUUGGCUUGUUUUGUUCUUUUCACUUUAUUCCAGCUUCUUUACUCUUUACUGUGGCAGGAGACUGGUGCCCUUUGACCCCCUUUUGUCUUUUGACUGAUUACUAUUUGAUUUGGAGAGAACUUUCAUUAAAAAUACAGAAUACCA